rnacentral:lncRNA from 1 species
GUUGCUACUGUUUCCAUUGUUUGAAUUGUUAAAGAGACCAAGGUAUUGACGUGGUAGUGAGUUUGGUAGCCCUUUUGUAGGAGAAACAACAAAAACAAUUCCAUCACCACUAAUAGUUGGAUAUUGAGGUCUUAUGGCAAAUACAAAAGUAGUUGAGAAAGAAGACACACUUCCAUUGGAAGUGUUUUUGAAAACUAUAGGAUUUGGAUAGAAACCAUGUCCUUUUUCAUAUUCUGUAUCAUUGGUGAGUUUUAGUAAGCCAUUUGAGGUUAACUCAGCAAUACCAUCAAGAUAUAAAUUUGAUGAUUGGAAUCCAUUAUAGAUGAAACUGUUUUCUUCACUUGCUACCAAUGUAACAAGAUAAAACAACAUGAACACAAGCCUGAAGAACAUGAUUAUAGUUUGUGGAUAAUAAUGCUUAUGCAGUUCUGUUGAUUGUUUAUUAUUUAUUAUUUAUAUAUUUUGUCCUAAGUGAAGAAAAAAUUGCAAGUCUAAUUUGGAUCCUACUAAGAAAUGUCCUGGAACUUAACUUAGCCACGUAUUUUCAAAUGGUUACUAAUUAAAGUUGCUAUAGUGGUGACCUCUUGUUUGGAGAAGUCAAGGGCUUAAGAUUUUGUGGAAUAUAUUUGUUUGGAUUGACUUAUUUUAAUUUAUAUCUGUUGAAAGAGUUUGUAAAAAUAGAUUAUGACAUGUUCAUAAGUUCUUGUCAUUGUAUUCCUAUAUGCUCUUCGUCAUAGUUUAUGAAGGUGGUUUAACUUAUUUCAUCUUUUGUUACAUUAAUGAUUUUUAAAGGACUAACUUGGGACCCAAAUAUGUCAUUUUAGUUUGAAACUUAAAGGAUUAACUUGAGAAUUCUGUCAAACUAAAAUGACUUAAUUGAAACUUUCGAAACUUAAAAAUUAACUUGGAAAUUAUGUCAAACUAAAAGGAUCAAAAGUGGUAUUUAGCCCUCUAAAUAAUAGGUCUCUUUAGUCGUUUUAGCAAGUUACUAAGCUUAAUAAUAUUUCUUAUUCUUAUCAUAAUUCCGACGAAGCUAAAAUGGUUGUUCAAAUAAAACAUUUUUUUUUUCAAUUUCACAAUUGGAUGUGUGGAUUUCAACAUUACUAUUGAUUUGUCUAAGUCUAUGAUUUGGUUGACUGGUAAGAAAAUGAUGAAUGAAUAAGUGGUGGAGGAUGCAUAAAGAUACUGUUGGUUUUGAAUCAAAAUUUCAUAUUUUUCUUCAUGGAAAAAUCCAUUGGCCAUUUCAAGUCAGCCUGUUCCAUCGGUCAUAUGUGCUGGCAAGUUGCGGGGAAUUGGAGGUAAAUCACGAGGCAAUUUACUUGGGAUUGACAGCUAUAAAAUACAGUUUUUGACAUAUUUGUUGAGCAAUCUUUCCACUCUAAAGGAGAGAAUUUUUAAGGAAUUUAGAGGUUUAGAGUAACCUUAUAAAGUAACUUAAUAACAUAACUUUGUUCUCCAAAAACUUUACUGUCUUUUCAAUUUUCUGGUUCUUCUUCAUUUCUUCUCCACAACUUUAUCACAGCUUCUGUUUUUCUUACUCUCCUUAUGGUGUUUUUAUGGGACUUUUUCUGACAUGCCCACACCACCUAAAAUAAGCUUACCAUAUUUUAUACAAUGGGAGUUAUCUCAACUUUUUUUCUACUGUUUAUUCAAUUCAGGGUUAAAAACUAUGUAAUGGACUAAUUGUAAAACCUAACUUUCUUUUUUAGGUGCUGCACUAUAUGUAAAGAGAAGUGACAUAUUGGCUCUCGCUAUAGGUAUGAUGAACUCUUCGAUCCUCUACGAUCAAUGAUUGGUUCAUUGUGUCAUUGACGGGUGAUAAUUCUGCAUUUCACAAUGAAUGCUUGAAUAAAAUGAUUUGCUUAGAUCGAGUAGAACUUCUGUUUCAUGAAUGGUGUGUUUAUCAACUGGUAACAAUUAGAGCAACUAUGGAAGAAAGGAAGUAGGUUGCUUCAAUUGUUUUACAUGCAAUAAGGCAUUCUUUAGAGCCAAGUGCAUUUCAGAUAUGGCUCAAUAAAUGUUAUAUUUCAUUUAGAGUGAAUCGCCGUUUAAGUCUAUAAAAUUAUAGGGGUUGAAAUUUUUAACGUUAGUCCUUUUGGGUUGGUCAAUAUAGUCCUUGAAACUGUCUUGAAGAGACUAAUGUGAUUGAAAAUUUUCGAUUUCAAGGAUCAUUUUAGAAUAUGUUAAUUUUAGGGGCUAAAUUGCACGAUGUCGUGACCAAUACUAUUUUUAGACUGAAAUAGGUUAUUCGCUCUUUUGUUUUAUGUUGUAUGAUGUGCCUGUGCUAGGUGGUACUUACCUAAAAAUUCUUGAUUGGCCCAUUAGUUCAUAUGUUGAUGCUAUCUGAUGAAUGGAAAAUUUAAAUUUCAUCACUGUAUUUGUUGGUCGAGGGUUGAGUACCUCAACUGGUUUCAACUAAGGGUUAAGGAGUUGGAGGUCCUGGGAUCAAUUUUCGGUAACGUAGGACGUUGUCUAUGACAGUGAUUAUAAUUAUGAUGUGUUGUUCAAUUUUAAUAUUUAAGGCUCAUUCUACGCAUGCUGAUAACUUAAUCCUGCCAAGCCCUGUAUAUUAACAUUGAUUAGUUGCUCAAUAUUAUAGGUGGAUAUCUAGAAGUACCAAGUGUCCAAGAAAAUAGAGAGUGAAGGGGAAAAGCUAAAGAACUUUGCUGAGGCUUUAUGGAAAAACCUUAAGAUGUAUUUCAAUGAUAUUCUAGAAAAUACAGAAGCAAAUAUGUGUCUGGUUAUCGAUGCUCGUAUUUGGAGGAUUCUGUAAAUUGAUCCAUCUUCUGCUGCUAGUUCAGGUUGAAGUUGAACUAGUGAUAAAUGAUAAUAAUAAACUAAUGUUGUGCAAAAUUAGUUCAGUGUUGCUUGUAGCUAAAAUGUUAUGCUGCCAUGCCGGCUUAUACUAUGGUAUCCAUUGUUACAUUUCUAAGGCAUAUAAUGAAAUGUAACUGGUACUAUUUUGGAUACAUAUAAACACGAUUUCAUGUAUCUGUUACACUAUAAUUGUCAAAAAAUAAUGUAUCUAUUACACUAUUAAUUCAAAUAUGAUUUUACAUUUGAUUUAACAAUCUCUCUUUAAUCCAUUUUACCAAAAUCUAACAACCACCAGAGAGAAGUGAAUCAGCAAGAGACACAGACGUAUGCGACAUUUUCUUGUCCAUAGAAGAAGGAUAAGACAAAGGAAAGUCCUCAAAAAAAUAUUUGUUCCCAAAAGUUAAUCCAGAAGAAGAUAAACUAGGCAAAGACAAAUCUGGCAAAGGUAUAUCCCUCUCCAAAUACUGCACAACUUGUCUCAUACCUGGUCUAGCCAAAGGUUCUGAAUGUGAACACAACAAACCAAGUUUCAACACCAAUUCCACCUCUUCAGACACAUAAUCUGUCCCCAAAUUUACAUCUUUUGCCUCAAGAAUAUCACCUCUUUUCCAACACUCAAACACACUAUCAACCAAAAUUACACAUUCAUUUUCCCCUACAUUAGCAAUAGGCCCUCUUCCACAAGCAACCUCAAGAAGAAAUGCACCAAAAGAAAACAUAUCAGAAAAUUUAGUCGCCUUACCUGUUCUAAUAUGUUCAUGAGCAAGAUAACCAAUAGUUCCAGCCAAAUGAGUUUUGUGAGGAUCUGCAUUGAAUUCAGAAUCUAACAACACAUUACUAGCUUUUAUGUCUCUAUGGAUAACAACUUUCUCCCAUUUUUCAUGAAGAUAAACCACACCUGAAGCAACACCUUUGAUGAUUCUAAAUCUUUCACUCCAAUUCAACUUCACUUUUGGUUGGUUAUAUAGAUAGUUGUCUAAACUUCCAUUUGGCAUGUAAUCAUAAACCAAAAGUAACUCGCUUUUUCGUCUACAAUAGCCAUGAAGUCGAACAAGAUUCCUGUGCCAAAGACGACCAAUACUGACAAUUUCCCGCACAAAUUCCCUCAUCCCUUGUCUUGAUUCAUGAGACACCCUUUUCACAGCAACCUCAAGUUUGAAACUUGGUAUCACACCUUUGUAGACUCUACCAAAUCCACCAACUCCCAGGAGCCCCUUUUCCCUGAAACCUUUUGUGGCUGAGUAUAGAUCUUUGAAUUUAAAUCUACGUGGGCCAUAUUCAUGUUUCCAAUCUUCAAGAACUUCAUCAAACUUCUUCAAUUUGAGAUAAUACAUAACCCCUAAAGUUAUCAUGAAUACCAAACUUAGCAAAAUCAAAGGUAACCCAACAGUUAAAAAUUUUGACUUUUUUUGUCAGCAAAUACUAUUGGCUCAUGAAGCUCAGAGAUUUCAAGGUUUUGAGCUUGACCAUUAACCUUAAAACUCCAACCAAGAACAUAAUGAGAAGCUAAAAUUAACCUUGUUGAAGAUGAUAAUCCAACAUACAUACUAUUGUUGAGAAUUGGAGAAAGAUCUUUGGUCAAUGACAACAAAUGUCGUGUUGGUUUAUUAUUAAAACCAACACUAAUCGGAGCUAAUGUAACCUCAAUCUUUUUCUUCACUCCAUCAUAGUCAAUCCAUACCUGCAUGGGAUAUCCACUGGAAAGGGAUAAAUCCUUGAAUCGAUCAUAAUCAUCAUAAUAUCCUGCAGAAAUUGAAUUUACUGAUUUCAAAUCAUUGAUAUCGUCAAACUCAAAAUCUUGAACAGUGUCAAACUCAACAGCAAAAACAUGGUUGCUAAUGUUUCCAGUGUUGAAAGUGUCAAAGAGACCAAGGUAUUUACUUGGUAGCGAAUUUGGUAGCCCUUUUGUUGGUGAAACAACAAAAACAAGUCCAUGGCCACAAGUAGCUGUAUACCUAGAUUUGAUGGCAAAUACAAAAGUAGUUGAGAAAGAAUACACACUUUCAUUGGAAGUGUUUUUGAAAACUAUAGGAUUUGGAUAGAAAGCAUAUCCUUUGGCUCUUUCUGUGUCAUUGGUGAGUCUUAGUAAGCCAUUUGAGUUUACCUUAGCAAUACCAUCAAGAUAUAAAUGUGAUGAAUGGAAUCCAUUGUAUUUAUAGAUGAAACUGUUUUCUUCACUUGCUAUCAAUGUAACAAGAAAAAACAACAUAAACACAAACUUAUAGUUUGUGAAUGAAUAAUACUUCUGUAGUUCUGAUGUUCAAAUUUAUAAGAUUUUGUCCUAAGUGAAGAAAAAAUUACAAGUCAACAUUUGUGUCCUACUAAGAAAUUAGAAAUGUCUUGGAACAUAACUAGCUACCAAUUAUUAUUAAUUAUUAAAAGAAACAUCACAUGGCUACCACUAAGAGAGAAUAACUUUUCGAGGAAAAAAAGUAGAGGAAUUGAAUUGAAAUACACACAAGAAAAAAAAAGAAAUUAAAAAAUAGUCAAUCUCUAUACUAACAGGAAUAUUUUUUUUUUUUGAGUAAAUGUUAGAAUGACUUUUGAUUUCUUGUUUCAAUUUUUUGUUUUCUUUUUCAAAAUGUGAAAAAAAAAAAACAAAGAAUGGAAAGUUAAAAUUGUGCUAUCUGUUCACUCAUGUGUAAUUUUGUUUUUACAAUGAAUAAAAAUCGGAUGUAUCAUUUUGUUCUUUUUCAUAACAUAAAUAAAGUAAUGAAUGCAUAAUAUUUUUAUUUCCAUAUCUGUUGUGUAGAAAAAAUAUGUGAGCAGCACAUUUAUUUUUAACAUAUAAUAACUAAAAAUAGUGCUUAAAUAGUGUAUUUUUUAUACAGUAACUUUUGUUGAAUCUCUAGAAAUAAGUUUGCAUAAAAAGACCAUUUAUCUUGUGUUUUGAAGAAAAGAAAAGAAAAACAGUUUCAUUAUCCUCAAGGCACCAUUGACAUGUAUUUAUCUCCAAGUUCAUUUAUCUGCAACAAAAAAUUUCAAAUUUUUAGGUAGCAACACUUUAUACAUGGUUUUGGAACUGUUUUGAUUUGGAAUCAUGGUUACCACAAUGGUUGUACAAUUAUCUAACCAAUUAUUUUCUUCCGGCUGUUUUUCAUCAUUUAUUUACCCUCUUUGAUGUUUCUUGGAGAGAUAAGAACCAUGUUCAACUUUCCUACAAAGAAAAAAAAAUUCACUGUUAAAACAAAUUAAAGAUGACAAAUAAUGAGAUUAGCAUUUGAAGAAUAGAUAUUUGAGCAUUUGAUUUUGUAACACAAGAAAGCAUGUCUAUGAAUGAAAGUAGAAAUGUGUCCAAACAUGUAUUUUAUGUAGAUUUUAUUUUUUUCCUUACUUUUAUUUUGACAAAUUAGUUAUAUAUAUUUUUUCAAAACAGCAAGUAUUACUAAAAUCCAAUAGAAAUGGAAGAAAAAAUAGAAAGGAUCAUUCACUUACCCAUGUUUUCUCAUUAUUUACCUACUUGUGCUUUUCUUUUAACUUAUAUGUGCUUUUCUUCUUGUUUUAUAGUUUGCUGGAGAUACAAGAUGAUCAUUCAACAUUCUUGUAACAUAUAGUAGAGAUAUCAAAGAUAAGAAGAUGAGAAUAUGCAAAAGAUAUAAAAUGUGUUCACUCACUUCUUCUCCCACUUAUUCAUUGUUUUAUUUCCUCUUAUAUGUAUAUUGUUUUUUAUGCAUUCAUGUAGAAGCUUCAUUUAACAUGUUAUAGAGAUUUGAUAUGAAGAGGGAAAAAAAAUUAAAGACAAUGCACAACUAAAAAAUGAGUUCAUUAUCAUCUUCAUACCUUUGUGAAGAUGUGAAGAUAAAAGAAGUUUCAUUUAUCUUCAAGUGUUCAAGAUUUUUCUGCAAAACAUAAACGAAAAAAAUGGUUGUUAGAAAAAAUUGAGAAGAAAAAAAAGUACUAGUAAAAACAGUGAAAGAAGAAAAAGGGAGAAUGAUAUAAUAGUGAAGGAGUAUUGGAUGAUAUAUUACCCUCUUUGAUGUUUCUUGAAAUUUGAAUUUUUGCCCCCAUUGGUAAAAGACAUAAAAGCUGACGCAAAAGUAAUUUAUCUAGUUGCAAUGCAAGGGAAAUGGUGUUUUUUAGAGCAAAUAAACUAAACCAAAUGCUUUUAGUAGUUACAUGACAUCAUCAUAGUUAAUUGUGGUCAUUUAGUUCAAUAAAGUAAUUUUUAAAUAACUUUUAGAGUAAUAAUAGAUUUUCCACAACAUCUUCCCUUCUUAUAUUAAGAGAGAUUAGGGGCAAAGAUUACACAUUUGUUUUUUCAAUUCUUUAUUUAUUGGCAACAAAUAUUUGUCUUAUGAAUUAGUGAAUUCAUGUUUAUAAUUGGUUAUUAGUUUGAGUAACUUACCUUAAAGUUAUUUCUUAAUUCAACGUAUCCUAAAUUAUAUUUAUUUUGAAUAAAUAGUUUAAGAAAUUGAUAUUUAAACUUUACUACUAUUUAUUUUUGAAUGAGAUCAUCAUGAUUAUUUUGUCAAGGAAGCAGAAGUAAAUUUAUUUAAAUUUUUAUAUAAGAUAUAUAUGAUAUAAAAUUAAAAUUCCUUUCUGAAUUUCAUUUUAAAAUAUUAUUAUUUCAAAAUUGAAUUUUACUUUUUUAAUCAACCAAAAAAAUUGAUUUGUUUUUUUAACUUGGACUUAUCAGAAAGACAAAAAACAAAACUUUUACAAAGCGUAAGGAACAAUAUCAAACCAAAAAAAUAUAAAGACCAAUAUCAAAAUAAGAAGAAAGUACAUGAAUCAAUGACCUAUUUAAACCUAUGAGUAAAUAUUUACGAUCUACAACAUGAAAUUUAGGUGAGGUGGAUUUGUUUGGUCCACUAUGGAGUUCUCUUCCUACACUUUUGCAACGUCUUAUGGUAACAUUUCUUAAAAAAUGUUGCAUGCACUUAUUUUAAUAUGUACUUCAACAUUUUAUUUAUGAAAAAUGAUAAAUUUUCUUUCUCAUACUCGCAUUAUCUUUUUAUUCUCUAUCUUCAUUAUUUUUCUUAUUUUUCUUAUUUCCCAUGCUGUUAACUUUCUUUCUCUAUUCCGUUCAUCAUCAAUUCUUCACCAUCAUCAUCAAUCGCCCAAUUCAACACUUAUUCUCAGAAUCUUCAUCUUAGGCUGGCUUCCAAAUAUGAAUGAUAUUUUCUACAUUCAUGGUAGUUUGCUGAGAAGAUUUCAUCUAUUUAUCUAAUCUUCAUCGAAUUCGGCAACACCUUGAAUGUGGCAGCAUUGAUGUUCCAAUCGCAGCUUUAUGUGAGUCUCUCUUACUCUUCUUCCUUUUUUCCUCUGGCAACUUAUUAUUGUGUUGCGUGUGAGGUGUUUGAUAAUUUGACUCAAUGAAAUUUUACUCUAUUAUUUUGCAAUUGUGUGCUUAUCCAGGAAUUAGGUGGAUGAACUGUUAUUUCCGUAUUAGACGAUGCCACUGCCGUGUGAGUAUCUCCCAACAAAUUUGUUUAAAUUUCAAAAUGAUCCUUUAAAUUGAAAAUCUUCGUUCACGUAUGUGAUAUUUUGAACUCUCCACCGAUGCAAAGUGAGUCUGAAGGUAAAUAUUAUUGUCCCCCUUGUUUCCAUUAUGUCUGUAUGUUAUCUACAUCAAUAGGUAUGUACACACUGAAUAUAUAUAUACAGAAAAAUAAUUUUUGCUGCACCAACGGUAGAUAAAAGUGAAAUACUGGCUCUUGUAGGCGAUAAGAUGGAUUCUUUGAUCCUUUAUAAUCUAUGAUUAAAUGGUUGCGUUAUUGAUGAGUCAUAAUUAUGCAUUUCGCAUUGAACUUAGGAAUAAAACGAUUAAUUCUUAAAUCAAGUAGAACUUCUCUUUCAUGAAUGUUGUGUUCAAUAAUCGGUGAUUAGCUAUUUGAAAGUCAUCACUGCAUUUGUUGGUAUCAUAUGAAGUUGUCCAUGAUGGUGAUUAUGAUCUGUUCAAUUUUAGGGCUCAUUCUAUUUCUAUGCAUCCUGAUAACUUAUAUGGGCAUAUGCAGAAUUACUGAAGUGUCCACGAAAAUAGAACCAGUGCAGGAGAAAAAAUAAAGAGCUUAGCACAAAUAGGAUUUUUGAAGUUAUUUAGUGGUUGCCUUAUCGCAUUUGAAGGUUUGCAGGUUAUUUCUUUGUUUACCCUUUGAAUCUCUUUGAUAUUGCUGAAUAAUAACUGUAGUCUCUUAGAUAGAUCUACUCAAUAGAUAAAACUUGGACAAAGUAAAGUAUAUGCAAAAUCAGAACUCUACCAAAUCCACCAACUUCCAAUAGCCCCUUUUCCAUGAAACCCUUUGUAGCAAAGUAUAGAUCUUUGAACUUAAAUCUAUGAGGGCCAUAUUCAUGUUCCCAAUCUUCAAGAAUCUCAGCAAACAUCUUCCGUUUGAUAUAAUAUAUAACCCUAAAGUUAUCAUGAAUAGCGAACUAAGCAAAAUCAAAGGCAACCCAACAGUUAAAAAUUUAGACUUUUUUUUUUCUCAUCAAAUAUACUUAGCUCAGGAGCAAAUAUUCUUGGCUCAGGAAGUUCAGAGAUUUCAAGGUUUUGAGCUUGGCUAUUAACCUUAAAACUCCAACCAAGAAUAUAAUGAGAAGCUACAAUUAACCCUGUUGAAGAUGAGAAUCCAACAUACAUUCUAUUGUUGAGUAUUGGAGAAAGAUCUUUGGUCAAUGAUAACAAAGGUUGUGUUGGUUUAUCACUAAAACCAACACUAAUUGGAGCUAAAGUAACAUCAUAAUAUCCAUACCUGCAUAUCCACUGGAAAGGGAUAAAUUCCUGAAUCCAUAAUCAUCAUAAUAUCCUGCAGGAGUUGAAUUAGCUGAUUUCAAAUCAUUGAUAUCAAUACCAAUAUGGUUAUCAUUGAUUUCAUCAAACUCAAAAUUUUGAUCAGUGUCAAGCUCAAUACCAAAAACAUGGCUGCUACUGUUUCCAUUGUUGGAAUUGUUAGAGACCAAGGUAUUAAUAUUGUAGUGAAUUUGGUAGCCCUUUUGUAGGUGAAAUAACAAAAACAAUUCCAUGGCCACUAUGAGUUGGAUAUUAAGAUUUUAUAGCAAAUAAAGAAUUAGUUGAGAAAGAAGACACACUUUCACUGAGUGUUUUUGAAAACUAUAGGAUUUGGAUAGAAAGCAUUGCCAUCAAGAUAUAAAUGUGAUGAUUGGAAUCCACUUUAUUUAUAGAUAAAGCAACAUGAACACAAGUCUGAGGAACAUGAUUAUAGUUUGAGAAUGAAUCAUGCUUCUGUAGUUCUGUUCGAGUGUUCGGUGUUUAUUAUUUAUAAGAUUUUGUGCUAAGUGAAGGAAAAAUUGCAUGUCUAAUUCGGGUCCUACUAAGAAAUUUCCUAGAACCUAGCUACGAAUUAUUACUAAAAGAAACAUCACAUGGUUACUAAAAUUGCCUUAUCAUCUGGGUCCUACUAAGAAAUGUCUCAUUUAGUUUAGUGAAGAGAAUGUGUUAUACAUUUGAAUCACAAUUUUUUUUUAUUUUUUUUCCAACAGUAGUAGUGGGUGAAUGUUUUUUUAACAUUUACAUAUUAAGUGUUUGAUGCUAAAUUGAAUAUGUGAAAUUUAAUUAUCAAUGUGUUCUAAUUUCUUAGAAUAAGUAGUGUUUUUUUUUAAUCCUGAAUGUGUGGACUUGACCAGUUACUAUUGAUUAUUGAUUAUGCUUCAAAUCAAAUGAUGAAUGAAUAUGUGGUGGAAAGAUAAAAAGAUAUAUGUUGGUUUGACUCAAUUUCAUACUCACUCCGUCUCUAAAUAUAAGACUCCUCUACAAAUUACUAAAUACAUUUAUUGCUCUUUUUUUUCCAAUAUACUAUCAAUUUAUCUAAGAAUAUGAAAAUUAACUUUGAAUGCACUUUUAUAAAAAGGGUAAUUUAGAAAUAGUAACACACAUUUCAGACAAAUUUAUUACUCGAAAGACUUUUUUUAGUACCCGUGAUUUUUGUAAAGUGUUCUUCUAAAAAAGGAUGGAGGGAAAAUUUUUCUUCAUGCAAAAAUCAUGGUGAAAUUUCGAGCCACAUGUUCCAUCGGUCACAUGUGUUGGCAAAUUGCAGGGAGAUGGAGGCAAAUCACCGGGUAAUUUACUCGUGAUUGACAGCUAUAAAAUACAAUUUUAGACCUGGUUGUUUUGCAAUCUUUCUACUCUAAAGGAGUUAAGGAACUAAUAGGGUGAGGGUUGAGUGUUUUGCAUGAUAUUCUUAUGUUGGAAAACAUCAUGAGAUCUCAUUAGAGUAAAUAUCAAACUCUUUUUCUAGUUUUCUCCUUAGAUCUCAAUUUAGGUUUUAGUGACUUGAAAAAUGGAUAGAAAUUAGAGAUUGUUCUUAUUGUCUACAAGAAUGGUAAAGGUAUUCUUUACCUAGGGCUUUGGUCAAUUUACUCUCAAAUUGUUUCAAACAAACUAAUUUGGCUGAAAUUUUUUUAAUUUCAGGGAUCAUUUUAGAAGUAUGAGUAAUUUGGUUGAAAUUCUUUUAAUUUCAGGGAGAUGAAUGGAAAAUUGAAAUUUAUCACAGCAUUCGUUGGUAAAGUAUGAAGUCGUCCAUGAUAGUGAUUAUGAUGUGUUCAAUUUUAGGGCUCAUUCUAUACAUCCCGUUAACUUAAUCUUAUAUGUGCAUAUGCAGAACUACUGAAGUGUUGAAGAAAAUCGAACGAGUAAAGGAGAAAAGAUGAAGAGCUUGUUUGAGUCUUUAGAACAAAUAUAAUUUCUGAAGUUAUUUAGUGGUUGCCUUAUUGCAUUUGAGGUUUUGCAGGUUAUUUCUUAGUUUACCCUUUGAAUCUCUGUGAUAUUACUGAACAAUAAUUGUAGUCUCUCGUUUACUCAAAAUAGAUACAAACUUGGACGCAAUGAAGUAUAUACAAAAUCAAAACAAAAAAAGUUUAAUGAGAAAAUGAUUUUAUGUAACUAUUAAACCAUUUACUCAAACAUGAUUUCACUUUUUAGAUAACAAACUCUCUUUAAUCCUUUUUACCAAAAUUUAAUACAUUACAAAAUCAAAAUGCACCAAUUAAGCAUCAAUUAGACGUGUCUUUUGAAAUCAACGACCACCCGAGAGAACAGAUUCAGCAAUUAACGCUGAAGUAUAUGGCAUUCUCCUGUCCUCAACAAAUAAUUGGUACCCAAAAGUUAAACCAGAAGAAGAUAAACUAAGCGAAGAAAAAUCUGGCAAAGGUGUAUCCCUCUCCAAAUACUGUACAACUUGUCUCAUACUUGGUCUAGCCAAAGGCUCUGAAUGUGAACACAACAAGCCAAGUUUCAACACCAAUUCCACCUCUUCAGACACAUAAUUUGUUCCUAAAUGAACAUCUUUUGCCUCAAGAAUCUCACCUCUUUGCCAACAUUCAAACACAGAAUCAACUAGAAUUAGACUCUCAUUGUCUCCUACACGACCUAUAGGCCUCCUACCACAAACAACCUCAAGAAGAAAUGCACCAAAAGAAAACACAUCAGAAAAUUUAGUAGCCUUACCUCUUCUAAUAUGUUCAGGAGCAAGAUAACCAAUAGUUCCAGCCAAAUGAGUUGUGUGAGGAUCAGCACCAUGAUCAUGCAACCUUGAAAGACCAAAAUCUCCCAAUCUAGCAUUAAAUCCAGAAUCUAACAACACAUUACUAGCCUUUAUGUCUCUAUGAAUAACAACUUUCUCCCAUUCUUCAUGAAGAUAAACCACACCUGAAGCAACACCUUUGAUGAUUCUAAAUCUUUGACUCCAAUUCAACCUCACUUUUGGUUGGUUAUAUAGAUAGUUGUCUAAACUUCCAUUCGGCAUGUAAUCAUAAACCAAAAGUAACUCGCUUUUUCGCCUGCAAUAGCCAUGAAGUUGAACAAGAUUCCUGUGCCGAAGACGACCGAUACUAACAAUUUCCGACACAAAUUCCCUCAUCCCUUGUCUUGAUUCAUGAGACACCCUUUUCACAGCAACCUCAAGUUUGGAACUUUGUAUCACACCUUUGUAGACUCUACCAAAUCCACCAACUCCCAAUAGCCCCUUUUCCCUGAAACCCUUUGUGGCUGAGUAUAGAUCUUUGAACUUAAAUCUACGUGGGCCAUAUUCAUGUUCCCAAUCUUCAAGAACCUCAUCAAACUUCUUCAAUUUGACAUAAUACAUAACCCCUAAAGUUAUCAUGAAUACCAAACUUAGGAAAAUCAAUGGCAAUCCAACAGUUAAAAAUUUCGACUUUUUUUUCUCUGCAGGUAGUUUAGGAAGUUCAGAGAUUUCAAGGUUUUGAGCUUGACCAUUAACCUUAAAACUCCAACCAAGAAUAUACUGAGAAGCUACCAUUAACCCUGUUGAAGAUGAGAAUCCAACAUACAUUCUAUUGUUGAGAAUUGAAGAAAGAUCUUUGGUCAAUGAUAACAAAGGUUGUGUUGGUUUAUUACUAGCACCAACACUCAUUGGUGCUAAAGUAACAUCAAUCUUUUUCUUCACUCCAUCAUAUUCAAUCCAUACCUGCAUAGGGUAUCCACUGGAAAGGGAUAAAUCCUUGAAUUGACCAUAACCAUCAUAAUAUCCUGCAGGAGUUGAAUCAGCUGAUUUCAAAUCAUUGAUAUCAAUUCCAACAUGGUUAUCGUUGAUAUCAUCAAACUCAAAAUUUUGACGAGUGUCAAGCUCAACACCAAAAACAUGGUUGCUACUGUUUCCACUGUUGGAAUCGUUAAAGAGACCAAGGUAUUGACUUGGUAGUGAAUCUGGUAGCCCUUUUGUUGGAGAAAUAACAAAAACAAUUCCAUGGCCACCAAUAUUUGCAUAUUGAGGUAUUAUGGCAAAUAAAAAAGUAGUUGAGAAAGAAGACACGCUUUCACUGGAAGUGUUUUUGAAAACUAUUGGAUUUGGAUAGAAACCAUGUCCUUUGUCUCUUUCUGUAUCAUUGGUGAGUUUUAGUAAGCCAUUUGUAGUUAACUCAGCAAUACCAUCAAGAUAUAAAUGUGAUGAUUGGAAUCCAUUAUAUAUGAAACUGUUGUCUUCACUUGCAACCAAUGUAACAUGAAAAAACAACAUGAACACAUGUCUGAGGAACAUGAUUAUAGGUUGUGAAUAAUAAUGCUUAUACAGUUCGGUUCAUUGUUUCUUAUUUAUUAUUUUUUAUUUAUAAUAUUUUGUCCUAUUGCUAGUCUCAUUUGGGACCUACUAAUAAGUGUCCCUUUACCUAACUUAGCUACGUAUUAUCACCAAAAGAAACAUCAAAUCAAAUGGUUACUAAAAUUGCGUAUCUCAUUUGAGUCAAUUUAAGUGGUGGAAGGAUGGAUAAAGAUAAUGUUGGUUUUGACUAAAAUGACUGGGGCAGUUUUUAAAGGAGAUAAUUUUUAGGAAACUUGGAAGUUAAGAGUUGAGUUGGAAAGAUUCUUUCUUCCUCUAACAUAGGUCAUUUUGGGCCGAAUUAGGUAAACAAUUUGAAAAUCGCUCUUUAAGCUUGAAAAAUUGUUCUCUUGCACCUUAAAAUUUCAUUAAUACCCCCAACAGCAAUGAAUUAUCGUCGCUACCCAGCAGCAGUUAAUUGUCGUUCGGUCUUUUUGCAACCACAAUUGUGUUCAACUGCAGUUGCGUUCGAGACUUAUUCUAGAACAGUAACAACACGUGUUCUGGAUUUAUUUUAUAAAAGCAAAAAUAGUUAUCACUUUUGUUUGAAACACAAAACUCCAAUCUCACUCAAAUGAAUCUCAUCCAAUUUCUUUCAUCAAAAUCAAAAGUUAUCAACUAUUCUACAAGUAAGUGUUAAUAAUCUCUUCUAUUCACAUUGUUAGUUUUAUAUAAUUUUUUUUCCUUCAAAAUUUGGUGGAAAUGUUAGUGUUUAUGAUUGGAUAAAUUAUUGAUAUUUUGGGUAGUCUGUGAUCCUAUAUAUGCAUGUUUUGACUAUAAAUGUUGUUUAAACUAAAUUUAAGUUCAAUGUUGUAGUUUAAAAGUUGAAAUAACACAAUGAAUAAAUGUUGUAUAUUUUGUACUACAAGCGUUUGAUGAAAUGCUUGAAUGAGUUUUUCAUUGAUAUUUUUAUUGUCUUUUGUUGUGUAGAUAUGACUGAGAACCUACAUAUGCGUAAAGAGACCAUGACAAGCAGUUCCCGCAAGGAGAGAGUGACAGUGAACCCUACUAAAAUCUGCAUUUCCAACGAUGUACGUCACAAACUGCCAAUGCAUUUAACCAAAUUUUUAGCAUUCUUUCUAUUUAAUUAGUUUUUCUUAUACUUUGUCUAUUUGAUCUUUUUAUCAAUUUUAAUUAUUCAGAUAUAGAUUGUUUCUUUCUACAUCUGCUGCACAAUUCACAAAUCAUGAUUUUGAUGAUGUGAUCAUCAAGGUUGGCUAGGAUAAGAAGAUUUUUGCAUCUAGUAUAUAUCUUUGAAAUGGAGAUAACUUGAUUUCCUUUCCUUACAGUAUUUUUUUAUUUUUUUAAAUCAAGGAGUAACCUUUGCGCAAAUCCUUGACGAAUCCCACGGGGUAACUGAGAUCCAAUAAUCAACGAAUGAGCUAUUUUUUAUACACAUAGUCCAGGUACCCUAAAACAAAUGUUUAAGAGACUCAAAUAUCUACCACAGUACCAGUUAUGCCACAUAUAUUGGAUGUUUCUUUAGAAUGGAUGAUUUGUAUAGAAAAGCCGACUGCAAAGGAAAAUUCAAAUAAAAACUCGUGAAUUAAUAUGUUGAAGUGUGAUUUAACAAUAAAAAAUUUAUAAGCAAAGUAAAUUAAAUAAAAUGCCUAAAAAUCCAUCUAUUCCAAUCAACUAAAUACCUUUCUGCAAAUGUAAAAAUAAUUCAAAGCAGCUACGCAACGCGCAGGUCAAAAUCUAGUUAAUCACAUAAUGUCCAUGUAUUAUGUAUAUGUACACAUAAAUCAGUGUUUUAUACCAGUGCAUUGUGGCCGGUUUACAGAUUUCAGUUUGCAGAGUGUUAUAUAGCCAGUGCUGUCAAAUUUAGAGGCGCUAUAGUGCUGCCGAAUAGAAGAAUUUGACCAAAUUGCUAUUGUUCCGUAAUAAAGCCCUUUUGUACAAAAUGUUGUCAUUAAUAAUGGCUAUAGAAGCACUAUAGUACCGUACCAUAGUAGAAUUUGAACAAACCGCUAUGCUGCAACAUUCAACACUGGUUAUAUAGUCACUGGUCAGUUAUGGUAUUUCCGGCUCGUAUUGACAUUUUUUGGCACCCCCACUGGUUGUUAGCAUUUUCGACUACUCAGCCUCAACCACACACAUUCUUCUUCUUCUUAAUCCUUUGUAUACUCAUUUGUUCAUACUUCUCUUUGCAACUUGUCUUUUUCUUUAACCCUACAUUCUUGCUCUGCAGCAACUCAAUCCCCCAUUGUUCUGUUUUUCUAUACUAGGUUGUUAAUUAUGAAUGUCUGUAAUUUUGUGUAACUUUUUUUUAUUUCUUUGAAAAUUUAUUUACAUAAAGCAUAAAAUAUUUAUGUUGGAUAUAUAAUCUUUGGUAUAGAGUUAUAUCAUCAUCUACUAUCUCUCAGUAGCGUUCGUGGGAUCUAUUACAUGUAUCAAAUGACUGCAUAAUAUUUACCAUGGGCUACAUCUAUGAAUAUAAAUUAAAACUCACGUACCUACCUAUUAGGAGAAAGAGACUACAUUAAAACAUAAACACUACAUAAAACUCGUGUAUCUAUUACACUAUUAACUCAAAUAUGAUUUUACAUUUGAUUUAACAAACUCUCCUUAAUCCAUUUUACCAAAAUCUAACGACAACCAGAGAGAAUUGAGUCGGCAAUAGACACAGAAGUCUGUGACAUUGUGUUGCCCAUAGAGGAAGGAUAAGACAAAGGAAAGUCCUCAAAAAAUUCUUGGUACCCAAAAGUUAAUCCAGAAGAAGAUAAACUAAGCAAAGACAAAUCUGGCAAAGGUAUAUCCCUCUCCAAAUACUGCACAACUUGUCUCAUACAUGGUCUAGCCAAAGGUUCUGAAUGUGAACACAACAAUCCAAGUUUCAACACCAACUCCACCUCUUCAGACACAAAGUUUGUCCCCAAAUUUACAUCUUUUGCCUCAAGAAUAUCACCUCUUUUCCAACACUCAAAUACACAAUCAACCAAAAUUACACUUUCAUUUUCCCCAACAUUAGAAAUAGGCCUUCUACCACAAGCAACCUCAAGAAGAAAUGCACCAAAAGAAAACACAUCAGAAAAUUUAGUAGCCUUACCUGUUCUAAUAUGUUCCGGAGCAAGAUAACCAAUAGUUCCAGCCAAAUGAGUCGUGUGAUGAUCUGCACCAUGGUCAUACAACCUUGAAAGACCAAAAUCUCCCAAUCUAGCAUUAAAUUCAGAAUCUAACAACACAUUACUAGCUUUUAUGUCUCUAUGAAUUACAACUUUCUCCCAUUCUUCAUGAAGAUAAACCACGCCUGAAGCAACACCUUUGAUGAUUCUAAAUCUUUGACUCCAAUUCAACCUCACUUUUGGUUGGUUGUAUAAAUAUUUGUCUAAACUUCCAUUCGGCAUGUAAUCAUAAACCAAAAGUAACUCGCUUUUUCGCCUGCAAUAGCCAUGAAGUUGAACAAGAUUCCUCUGCCGAAGACGACCGAUACUAACAAUUUCCGACACAAAUUCCCUCAUCCCUUGUCUUGAUUCAUGAGACACCCUUUUCACAGCAACCUCAAGUUUGGAACUUGGUAACACACCUUUGUAGACUCUACCAAAUCCACCAACUCCCAGUAGCCCCUUUUCCCUGAAACCCUUUGUGGCAAAGUACAAAUCUUUGAACUUAAAUCUAUGUGGGCCAUAUUCUUGUUCCCAAUCUUCAAGAAUCUCAGCAAACUUCUUCCGUCUGAUAUAAUACAUAACCCCUAAAGUUAUCAUGAAUAUCAAACUUAUCAAAAUUAAAGGCAACCCAACAGUUAAAAAAUUUGAUUUCGUUUUCUCAGCUAAUACUGGUAACUCAGGAAGUUCAGAGAUUACAAGGUUUUGAGCUUGACCAUUAAUCUUAAAACUCCAACCAAGAAUAUAAUGAGAAGUUAGAAAUGAACCAGUAGCUGAUGAAAAUCCAACAUACAUACUAUUGUUAAGAAUUGGAGAAAGAUCUUUGGUCAAUGAUAACAAAGGUUGUUUUGGUUUAACAACAUUAAUUGGAGCUAAAGUAACAUCAAUCUUUUUCUUUUCACCAUCAUAUUCAAUCCAUACCUGCAUAGGAUAGCCACUGAUAAGGCUUAUAUUCUUGAAUUGACCAUUACCAUCAUAAUAUCCUGCAGGAGUUGAAUUAGCUGAUUUCAAAUCAUUGAUAUCAAUACCAACAUGGUUAUCAUUGAUAUCAUCAAACUCACGAUUUUCAAUAGUAUCAAGUUCAACACCAAAAACGUGGUUGCUAGGAUUUCCAUUGUUGGAAUCGUCAAAGAGACCAAGGUAUGAACCUUGGAGUGAAUUUGGUAGCCCUUUUGUAGGAGAAAGAACAAAAACAAUUCCAUGGCCACUAUAAGUUGGACCUUGAUGUCUUAUGGCAAAUACAAAAGUAGUUGAGAAUGAAGAAACACUUCCAUUGGAAGUGUUCUUCAAAACUAUAGGGUUUGGAUAGAAAGCAUGUGCUUUUUCUUGUUUGGUGUCAUUGGUGAGUCUUAGUAAGCCAUUGGAGGUUAAAUUAGCAAUACCAUCAAGAUACAAAUGAGAUGAUUGGAAAUCAUUAUAGAUGAAACUUUUGUCUUCACUUGGUACCAAUGUAACAAGAAAAAACAACAUAAACACAAGCCUGAGGAACAUGAUUAUAGUUUGUGAAUAAUAAUGCUUAUACAGUUCUGUUCAGUGUUUAUUAUUUAUUAUUUAUUAUGUAUAAGAUUUUGUCCUAGGUGAAGAAAAAAUUGCAAGUCUAAUUUGGGUCCUACUAAGAAAUGUCUUGGAACCUAACUUAGCUAUGAAUUAUCACCAAAAGAAACAUCAAAUGGUUACUAAAAUCGCGUAUCUCAUUUGGGUCCUACUAAGAAAUGUCUCAUUUAGUUUAGUAAAAAUGAACUCAUUUGGGACCAUUUGAAUAGUUGUGCACAUUUGAACUACCAAUUUUUUUCCCAACUGCACAUUUUCAAUGUUUACGUAUUGAGUGUUUGAUGCUAAAUUGAAUAUGUGAAAUUAAAACAUCAAUGUCGUCUAAUUUCUUCAAAUAAGCAUAGUUUUUUUUUUUAAGUUCACACUUGAAUGUGUGGAUUUGACCGAUUACUAUUGAUUAUCUAUGAUUUGCUUGGCUGCUAAGAAAAUGAUGAAUGAAUAAGUGGUGGAGGAUGCAUAAAGAUACCGUUGGUUUUGAAUCAAAAUUUCAUAUUUUUCUUCAUGGAAAAAUCGUAGGCCAAUUAAAGUCAGCCUGUUUCAUUGGUCAUAUGUGCUGGCAAGUUGCAGGGAGAUGGAGGUAAAUCACGAGGCAAUUUACUCAGGAUUGACAACUAUAAAAUUCAGUUUUUGACAUAUUUGUCGAGCAAUCUUUCUACUCUAAAUCAGAGAAUUUUUAAGGAAUUUAGAGGUUCAGAGUAACCUUAAAAAGUAACUUAAUAACAUAACUUUGUUCUCCAAAAACUUUACUGUCUUUUCAAUUUUCUGGUUCUUCUUCAUUUCUUGUCCACCACUUUAUCAUAGCUUCUGUUUUUCACAUAUGCCCACACGACCUAAAAUGAGCUUACCAUUUUUUCUACAAUGGAGCCAUCUCAACUUUUUCUCUGCUGUUUAUUUAAUUUAUUUAAUUCAGGGUUAAAAACCAUGUAAUGGACUAAUUUUAAAACCUAACUUUCUUUUUUAGGUGCUGCACUGUCUGUAAAGAGAAGUGACAUAUUGGCUCUUGCUAUAGGUAUGAUGGACUCUUUGAUCCUCUACAAUCAAUGAUUGGUUUAUUGUGUCAUUCACGGGUGAUAAUUCUGGAUGUCACAAUGAAUGUUGGGAUAAAAUGGUUUGUUUAAAUCGAGUAAAACUUCUGUUUCAUGAAUGGUGUGUUCAUCAACUGGUAACAAUUAUAGCAACUAUAGAAGAAAGGCUUAAGUGGGGUGUGGGUUUUCCUACUAUAGGUGUUUCAAUUGUUUUACAUGCACUGAGGCAUUCUUUAGAAUCAAGUGCAUUUCAGAUAUGGCUCAAUAAAUGUUAUAUUUGAUUUAGACUGAAUCACCAUUUAAGUCUAUAAAUUACAGGGGUUGAAAUUUUUAAUGUUAGUCCUUUUGGGUCGGUCAAUAUAGUCCUUGAAAUUGUCUUGAAGAUACUAAAGUGAUUGAAAAUUUUCAAUUUCAAUGAUCAUUUUAGAAUAUGUUAAUUUUAGGGGCUAGAUUGCAUGAUGUCGUGACCAAUACUAUUAUAAGACUGAAAUAGGUUAUUCGCUCUUUCGUUUUAUGUUAUUUGAUGUGUCUAUGCUAGGUGGUGCUUACCUAAAGAUUCUUGAUGGCUACAUUAGUUCAUAUGUUGUUGCUAUCUGAUGAAUGGAAAAUUUAAAUUUGUUGGUCGAGGGUUGAGUACCUCGAUUGGUUUGAGCUAAGGGUUAAGAAGUUGGAGGUCGUCUGUUCAAAUUUUGGUAAUGUCGACAUUGUCCAUGACAGUGAUUAUAAUUAUGAUGUGUUGUUCAAUUUUAAUAUUUAAGGCUCAUUCUACGCAUGCUGAUAACUUAAUCCUGCCAAGCCCUGUAUAUUAACAUUGAUUAGUUGCUCAAUAUUACAGGUGGAUAUCUAAGCUGUAUUUCGAUGAUAUUCUAGAAAAUACAGAAGCAAAUAUAUGUCUUGUUAUCGAUGCUCGUAUUUGGAGGAUUCUAUAAAUUGAGCCAUCUUCUGCUGCUAGUUCAGGUUGAAGUUGAACUAGUGAUAAAUGAUAAAAAUAAACUAAUGUUGUGCAAAAUUAGUUCAGUGUUGCUUGUAGCUAAAAUGUUAUGCUGCCAUGC